CCUACGGGGGGCAGCAGUGGGGAAUAUUGCACAAUGGGCGCAAGCCUGAUGCAGCCAUGCCGCGUGUGUGAAGAAGGCCUUCGGGUUGUAAAGCACUUUCAGCGGGGAGGAAGGCGUUAAGGUUAAUAACCUUGUCGAUUGACGUUACCUGCAGAAGAAGCACCGGCUAACUCCGUGCCAGCAGCCGCGGUAAUACGGAGGGUGCAAGCGUUAAUCGGAAUUACUGGGCGUAAAGCGCACGCAGGCGGUCUGUCAAGUCGGAUGUGAAAUCCCCGGGCUCAACCUGGGAACUGCAUUCGAAACUGGCAGGCGAGAGUGUUGUAGAGGGGGGUAGAAUUCCAGGUGUAGCGGUGAAAUGCGUAGAGAUCUGGAGGAAUACCGGUGGCGAAGGCGGCCCCCUGGACAAAGACUGACGCUCAGGUGCGAAAGCGUGGGGAGCAAACAGGAUUAGAUACCCGGGUAGUC
rnacentral:rRNA from 1 species